AUUAAAAAAGUUUGACUUAUAGUCCGAAAAAUAAGGUACAUCUUUUACUACAACAGUAAGAUUUUUCUGCUUGUGUACCUGUUCCAAUGUUCAUAAUUGAACAUCGGCAAUAGUGAAAUAAGGCUGAAUUUCCUCCAAAAGCAGGUGCAUAAAGAUACACACCCGACGCCACUGAUCCACCCUAACUUUAUGUUGCUGAUCAGAUUAACAUGCCGUCCAGUAUUGCCGUCUGAUUCCACUCAUUACCAAUAUAUCAGUUGUCAGAUCACUACAUAACCGAAGGAAACCACCCGUGAAAAACAUCGCCUAGGCAUGUUUUAUGAGGAUAGAAGUCCUUCAGAAGAACACAGUUGUUACUAGAACUGUUAGCUUCAAGAAUCACAGCCAGGGAAUCUUAGGAAAUAAGUUUAGGCGAUAUAAACUGCCUUAUGCAAAAGUGGAAUUUCUCAACCAUCAGCUAAUGCUUCUUGUCUUUUACAGCGUAAGCUUUAUGUGCCCCAGUAGUCAGCGUAAAAGCCUGAGAUUGUUCCACAACAUUACUCCUAAUUGGUGCUCCCAGUAUUAAACUCGUUUUAUAAGUCGUUGAUGGACAAAUCUAUUUAAAUCAGUUUAUUAUCAGGAAACAGAGUUGCCUUAAAAUUAAAACAUGGAAAUUUCAAAGGUUUGACCUCAAAACGAAAACUUGCUGUUUGUCUUUGACAUGCUCACGAGGGACGUCAAGGUGUUGAGCUAACAGGUUGAUUCAACCUGUUCUCCUAAUGUUGUUUUCAAAUGUUUCCAUUCAUGCCACAUGCUUUGCUGUAAAUGCUUACAUUACGUAAGCAGAGUAAAUAUCCUCAGUCAAUUAGCAAAAUAGGGAGGAGGUCCCAUUCUGUACACUGUCUUUUGUUGCAUUUUUGUUUUGUUAUGAGUCAAGUCAAAGGCAAUUAAUGUUUUCAGCUUUCUUCAGUGACAAUCAAGAACAGCCAUGGUUUUAGAUAUGACCAAUAGGCUCACGGCCGGGGAGCGACACCCCAUCCACUGGCAGCACAAGAAAAAAAAAAAUCUUUAAUUUGCGCUGGAUUUGGUUAUCUUUAGUUCACGAUCCAUACAUCCUGAACUGGAUAGUCCUAUACCGAACAGUGAACAGUUCCUAGAAGACAGUUUAUUUAAUUAGAAACCUUUAUCGUAUUUGUGAGAACACAAUAAGCGCCUCCUCAAUGUUUUUGGCACGGAGAUCAGUUAAGACUGAGACAAGCAUCAAAAUUGCAAUUAACUGUCUAGGCUAACUGGACUGAAUUAUUUUACACUGAUUAGGACGUAGAAAAGACAUUUUAUGGAAACUUUAAUCCAUUUUGAGAAAACAAUGAGAUAAUAAUCUGUCUAAAAAAAAAAACCCAUCUCUUCAUCAUUCUAAUAUUGUGAGAUUUAAAGGCUUUACAUCUGUCUGAGUUGGGUUGGGGGGAGGGGUGGACUUUCCCCGGGUCCUAUGCAUGUAAGAAAUCCCACUAAUCUGGAAUCUACACGAUUUACAAGGUCACCGAAGACAGAGAACAUUUACAAAGAAAGCUAAAGAAUGGACCCUUUUUAAAGAUUCACUUCAGCUCCCACACUUCAUGUUUAUCUGAGCAUGAUUUUUCUUUCUUUCUUUCUUUCUUCUGCAGCUGUUGUUACCAAGCCAGGGUUUACUUCUGAGAGGUGUAGAAAUAUUCAAGGAAAGUGCUGCUGUAAACAAGACAAACAGAGCAGACAGGGGAUGUCAGUCAUCCCCAUCACUCCAGAUAAUUAGUAUUCACACUGUAUUCGCAAACAGCUCAUGCUGGGAUUGAUAAAAGUCCCUUCGGCCCUCCAUAUGUGCGAGUGUGAAAGUGUUGUAAACAGGUGUAUGCUUCUCCUGCUGUCUGUCUUUUUGUUUAUGUCGAUUGUGGUUGUGCAUGGGGAAGAUGCAGUGUCUGUUUGUGUGUUAUUCACACUGUGAAAGGUGGUGGUGUAGCUUUACGCAUACCUGCUAUUUACAAACCACACUCCAGGAUCCCACAGUCCCAUGAUGAAUGUGUGUGCGUUUGUGUAACCUUGCAGUCACAUACACCACAGAGGAAGAAAAGUGGAAAUGAAAAAAGCGAAUGCGGCCGUAGACGACGCAGAAAUUAGCUUUGUUUUGGCGUAGGGCGGCAUAUUAAUGAUCCAAUUAGGAGACAAAAAGAAAAAAAAAAAAAAAUUCAGAGGAAGGAAAUGAAAAGUGCUGGUUGUGGUGGUGUUCGUGCAGAGGGAACUGCCGGAGGAGUUAAAGGGGAAAUCUGCAGCGAGCGUGUGGCGUCUGCAGGACAGAAGGACCUAUCGGAUGGGGAGGAAGAACAAACGGGGGGAUGAGGGAGGAGAAGAACUUGGAAUAGGACGGCUGACAUGAUGAUCCGCUAAAUCUCAAGGCUGGCCAGGUACCAGUAGAUCAGCAGAUUACAAAAGAGCAAUCUCAUUUGAACCUGGUUCAUCAACGACGACGCAGGAGGCGCCGGGGUGGAACACAGUUUGUCCUUGCAGGAGGAUGGACGAGCCCUCCUUCCUCCUCUGAUUGGCCCCUCCCACCCAUAUUCCCACAGACUGGAGACGGAUCGGGGAGGAAAGGCAAGAGGAUUGCAUUUCCCGGAGUCAAUGCUGCAUAGGUGAUAUAGAAGCCUGGUAGUGAGCAGUAACUCAUAGCUAUGACCGAGCAUCUCCGCAGACUCUCCUCUCCACUUCAAGUAUUGAUUUCUGACUGACAGGAGUCGUGAUUGGACACCUAGAUGUGCCAGUGCCACUUGUGUGAUAAUAAUAUAUGUUGGAGGUGUUGUGUUUGCGUGCUGUUUGCAAACUUGUGUCAAGCCAAUUGCUACAUCCUUUAUUGAUGGAGCUGUUCAAUGAGAAUAAAUUGAAUUUGAGGCAUCCACAGUAGAAGUGUGUUAUUUCCCCACUUGGGACCAUCAAGUUGAAUAUCUUAAGUCCCUAAACAUGGGUUUGCCAAAUACCUCCGUGGGUCCUGCCUUUAAACAAUACAACACAAAGUGGGUUUGAAUUGUUCUUAAAUGGCAUGUGUCGUUAAUUUUGCUACCUUUCCUUCAACACUGACAGAUUUGCACAAAAGUAAUUUCAUUGCUUCACUAUUUCAUGAUAUGGUACGGAAUAAAAAAAUCUUUUUAACCCUU